rnacentral:rRNA from 1 species
AACGAACGCUGGCGGCAGGCUUAACACAUGCAAGUCGAACGCCCCGCAAGGGGAGUGGCAGCCGGGUGAGUAACGCGUGGGAACAUACCCUUUUCUACGGAAUAGCUCUGGGAAACUGGAAUUAAUACCGUAUACGCCCUACGGGGGAAAGAUUUAUCGGGGAAGGAUUGGCCCGCGUUGGAUUAGCUAGUUGGUGGGGUAAAGGCCUACCAAGGCGACGAUCCAUAGCUGGUCUGAGAGGAUGAUCAGCCACAUUGGGACUGAGACACGGCCCAAACUCCUACGGGAGGCAGCAGUGGGGAAUAUUGGACAAUGGGCGCAAGCCUGAGCCAGCCAUGCCGCGUGAGUGAUGAAGGCCUUAGGGUGGUAAAGCUCUUUCACCGAUGAAGAUAAUGACGGUAGUCGGAGAAGAAGCCCCGGCUAACUGCGU